CCCUGCAGGUACUGCAUUGACAACGGCGCCAUGAUUGCCCAGGCCGGGUGCGAGAUGCUGAGGGUGGGGCAGGUGACGGAGCUCAGCCAAUCAGGGAUCACGCAGAGGUAUCGGACGGACGAGGUGGAAGUGAUGUGGAGGGAUUGAGGUGGCCACGCCCACAGCGGCCACGCCCUUUUAAUAAAAAUAUUCCCUAUCCCCUCA